ACUGGCAGGGAAGAUUGGGUGGAGAGAGCAGGGCUGGAGUCCUCACAAUGCAGUCCAUGCGGCAACAUGUUUUUUUAUAUUAGACUCCCUGUCGCUGCCUGCAGGGUCUGUAAGGUGUGCACAGGUGGAGGAGAACACUGUGGCCGUAAGCUGCUGUUCGCAGACACAUUUACACUCACUUAUUUGUUGUCCCGCCCCAGCUCUACAUAUCCUGGUCUCCUCCUCUCCCCCUCUUUCUAAUAGCUGGCUGCCUGGUAGAUCGUGGGAAUGGGGUGGAUCAAAAGGAUAAGACUCCACCCCCCUGUGUGAUCCCUCUUCUAGAUCCACCUCCUGUUUGCUCCAUCCUAUCACUGAGAGACUGAGUGCAAGCUCUGCCUCCAGACUGUUUGAUUGUCCAGGACAGGGAUGGCAGCUGCAGCCUCUGCACUUUGGCAUUGAGUGCUCUGUGAAAAAAGAAGUGCCUGACUAACAAAGGAGGAUAUCAAGUUAAUUAUCACUCGGCACACAACAUUUGGUGAAGCAGAUAGACGCCAUGUACAAAGUUGUAAAAAAACUUUCCCCAAAGGAGAGGUUACUGCUGAGAGACAGAAAUAACCUGCCAAGAUCUUGUAUCUGGAAGGAUAAAAUAUGAAGAAUGGCCUCCUGAAUAGAUGAUGUAAUAAAAAUGUUAAGAAGAAACAUUGUUUGCAAUAAAACUGUUAUACUGCGA